rnacentral:rRNA from 1 species
CUUGGUCAUUUAGAGGAAGUAAAAGUCGUAACAAGGUCUCCGUUGGUGAACCAGCGGAGGGAUCAUUACAGAGUUGCAAGACUCCCUAAACCAUUGUGAACCUACCUUCUACCGUUGCUUCGGCGGGCGGGCCCAGCGCCCCCCCGGCCCCCCGCGGGCGCCCGCCGGAGGAUACCCAAACUCUUGACAUUAGUGGCCUCUCUGAGUAUUCUUUACUGAAUAAGUCAAAACUUUCAACAACGGAUCUCUUGGUUCUGGCAUCGAUGAAGAACGCAGCGAAAUGCGAUAAGUAAUGUGAAUUGCAGAAUUCAGUGAAUCAUCGAAUCUUUGAACGCACAUUGCGCCCGCCAGUAUUCUGGCGGGCAUGCCUGUUCGAGCGUCAUUUCAACCAUCAAGCCCCCGGGCUUGUGUUGGGGACCUGCGGCUGCCCGCAGGCCCUGAAAACCAGUGGCGGGCUCGCUAGUCACACCGAGCGUAGUAGCAUACAUCUCGCUCAGGGCGUGCUGCGGGUUCCGGCCGUUAAACAGCCUCUGCGCUACACCCAAGGUUGACCUCGGAUCAGGUAGGAAGACCCGCUGAACUUAAGCAUAUCAAUAAGCGGAGGA